UUGCCACAGGCAUGCCUUCACAGAAGUCACUUAACUAAGUCUAGGUUCCUCAUCUGUGAACUGAGAAAACUAAAAGCACUGAUUCCAUGGGGUGCUUAGGAAGAAGUCACCCAUGACUAUCUGGAACAACAUUGUGGGGAAGGCCAAGUUUCUGGCUAUGUCUUUGCAUUUGGACUGAUAAUUCAUUAAGCCAGGAUAACGAUGGAAUGGCCUAUGUGGGUAGCUGUAAGGACCCUGUGAUGAUCUUUCCGAGUUUCAGAUUGCACGAUAACCUUGAAACUUACAAACCUGGCUUUGGUUGUAAAGGAUUCAUGUUCAAGGGAACUACUGAAUGGAAGUUAUCAAAAGUAUUAAAAUCAACAGAGCAUGCAGAGAACUACAGGAUAAUUACUGUGGCAUUCUGUUAAGAUCAUACUUGACUUAGAAAACUAGUGGCCUGUAGAUUCGGUCUUAUUUGCCCUCCAAGAAUACUUAUACAGCAAAAAUACCCAUUCCUCUGGAAAUUUACUCUCUUGGCAAUUGCAUAAUUAUUAUUAUUUUUUAAUCUAGAAACCACCGUACAUUCAUUUAAAACUACUUUGAGAUAGGAAUUUUACUUACCUGAGAACUGUGGUCUCUUAUCAUGACUUCAGUUUUCUAAAUUUAACUUAUGGAUGUAUAAUCUUAUUAAUUAACUGUGAACAUGGUUUCUGAGAGAAAAAGACCUGCCUAAUGUCUACCACCCUUACAGUAUAAGAGCAGCAGGAUCUUCGUCUGUGUGCGGGAAGGAACGUCACAGGAUUGGGACUAUGUAUUUGUGCACUUUAGAAAUGGGGACAGAGGCUGGGAGGAAGAUCUAAGUUCAUUGAAGGUGUGUCCCACCUUACUCCAGGGGUAGUGGAUGGACUUGAAAGCUGGACAGAAGAAUCAUCUUACUGGGUGGCAGUGGCCUCUUCAGGCUUUGGACUGUGGAGAGACACCUGCCUCUCUGUAAGAACGGUAAAAAGCCUCCCUGCCUGUGGUACUUGGCCUGUAUGUAAUAUCUCAAAGGCGGUUAGGAACAGGAAGAAAGUUCCUCUGACUUGGUGUUUCCCUGAAAUGCUGAUUAGAUAAAUAACAGUGCAUGCCGCACAAUGACAAAAGCAACUUAUAAACAUCAAGGGUUAUGUGAGGCAACCGUACAUCUGAUUUUGGUAUUGUGGUAUUUGAUAUUUCAAGAGACUAAAAUAAAAGAGAAAGUAUAAAAAUAAGCAGUUUCCCAGGGA
rnacentral:lncRNA from 1 species